rnacentral:rRNA from 1 species
UACGGGGGGAGCAAGCGUUGUUCGGAUUUACUGGGCGUAAAGGGCGCGUAGGCGGCGUGACUAGUCACUUGUGAAAUCUCCGGGCUUAACUCGGAACGGUCAAGUGAUACUGUCGUGCUAGAGUACAGAAGGGGCAACUGGAAUUCUCGGUGUAGCGGUGAAAUGCGUAGAUAUCGAAAGGAACACCUGCGGCGAAGGCGGGUUGCUGGGCUGAUACUGACGCUGAUGCGCGAAAGCCAGGGGAGCGAACGGG